CACGCUGUAAACGAUGAAUACUAGGUGUAGGGGGUAUGAACUCCCCCUGUGCCGUAGCAAACGCAAUAAGUAUUCCGCCUGGGGAGUACGGCCGCAAGGUUGAAACUCAAAGGAAUUGACGGGGGCCCGCACAAGCAGCGGAGCAUGUGGUUUAAUUCGACGCAACGCGAAGAACCUUACCAAGGCUUGACAUCCACUUAAAGCUAUAGAAAUAUAGUGUCCCUUCGGGGGAAGUGAGACAGGUGG
rnacentral:rRNA from 1 species